rnacentral:rRNA from 1 species
GACACGACUCUCGACAAUGGAUAUCUCGGCUCUCGCAUCGAUGAAGAGCGCAGCGAAAUGCGAUACGUGGUGCGAAUUGCAGAAUCCCGCGAACCAUCGAGUCUUUGAACGCAAGUUGCGCCCGAGGCCAGUCGGUCGAGGGCACGUCCGCCUGGGCGUCAAGC